CGAGCCGCUCGGCGGCUUUCUGCAGCCCUAGCUGCCUCGCCCCCAGUAUGUGACGUGGGUGACAAUGGCCCAGGUUAGAGCGAGCCCCUCGUCGGCGCGUCCUGGGUGGUCGGACCCGGGCAAACACAAAUACAAACCGAUUGCUAAGCUGCGGACAAUGAGCGAAAUGUAGACAAAUGUCCCGCUCCCGUUGGAAGCCUUUGUCCCGGCUCGGUUUUUGCAUUUAUUUCAGUGGCGAAAUAAUACAUGAUUGACGCUC
rnacentral:lncRNA from 1 species